rnacentral:rRNA from 1 species
UACAGAGGGUGCGAGCGUUGUUCGGAAUCAUUGGGCGUAAAGCGCUUGUAGGCGGCCUGAAAAGUCUCGUGUGAAAUCCCCUGGCUUAACCAGGGAAGUGCGCGAGAAACUUUUGGGCUUGAGUGCCGGAGAGGGUCGCGGAAUUCCCGGUGUAGAGGUGAAAUUCGUAGAUAUCGGGAGGAACACCAGUGGCGAAGGCGGCGACCUGGACGGGACACUGACGCUGGAGACGCGAAAGCGUGGGGAGCAAACAGG